rnacentral:piRNA from 1 species
UCCGACUUUCCGCAGUAUUCC